AGGACGAACGCUGGCGGCGUGCUUAACACAUGCAAGUCGAGCGGUAAGGCCUUUCGGGGUACACGAGCGGCGAACGGGUGAGUAACACGUGGGUGAUCUGCCCUGCACUCUGGGAUAAGCCUGGGAAACUGGGUCUAAUACCGGAUAUGACCUGCUCUCGCAUGGGGGUGGGUGGAAAGAUUUAUCGGUGCAGGAUGGGCCCGCGGCCUAUCAGCUUGUUGGUGGGGUAAUGGCCUACCAAGGCGACGACGGGUAGCCGACCUGAGAGGGUGACCGGCCACACUGGGACUGAGACACGGCCCAGACUCCUACGGGAGGCAGCAGUGGGGAAUAUUGCACAAUGGGCGAAAGCCUGAUGCAGCGACGCCGCGUGAGGAUGAAGGCCUUCGGGUUGUAAACCUCUUUCAGCAGGGACGAAGCGCAAGUGACGGUACCCUGCGAGAAGAAGCGACCGGCUAACUACGUCGCCAGCAGCCGAC
rnacentral:rRNA from 1 species